AAUAUGCGUUGAAAGGCAACCUCCCAAACCCCCCUUUAAAAAAGAAACUGUUGGGGCGUCGCUGAAAAUGCCGGAAAAUAAAUUAGUACAAGUGCGGUGGUGAAAGCACAACGCGCAGAAUUCCAGUUAAAGCAAGGUUCCUGUGAGCGUCUCAAGUGCUGUGGCCUUGAGAGUAAAGAAAAUGAAGACAAUCCAGACAGACUGAGAAUUUAAGAACAGUGGUGCUGGCUGGGGAGAAGUGCCUGGAGUUACAGCAGAAGGUUCGUGUGGUUAUUCCUGGAGAACAGAACGGCCUUUCCGAAACACAAGAUGCAUUGCCCUGGCAUUUUCCUCAGUGGAGGUUGCCUUCAGGUAUUUUAUGCUUAGACAUGUCAUUUGAUUUAUUUCGGGCACGUUUAAAAGUUUGCUCUCAGGAGCAAAGUGAAGUAUUUUUUUAAUUUAUUUUUUCAGAUUUCCAGAAAACUGAAAACUGAUCUGUUCUCGCUACUUCCAUUAGGAAUAAAACAGGGUUACAGCCAAAAUGCCCAGCUGGGGAGAGAAACAGAGUAGAAAAGGGAACCUUAAGGACAGAGCAAGGAGCUGCAAGACAGAACACAACCUCCAGUUGUGUGGGUUGACAUCCGGACACUGGGGAGCUAAAUUCAUUAAAUAAAUCCUAGUAUUCCCCACUGUGGAACUA